rnacentral:lncRNA from 1 species
GAGUUUUCUAUGCAAGUGUUUGUAUUAGUAAAAAACAAAUAAACAAACAAAAAAAAGUAGGCAAAAGUUUACAUUCCUACCCAUGCAAGUUAUAAAUUUCAAUGUGACUUGUAGCACAAAAUUCAGAUUUGUUAAUAAUUAAAGUUGCUUUCAUCCACAUCAGAUGAUUCAGUCCUCACAGGACCUGUAAACCACUAGAGAUGUUGUUUUUCCAGAAAUGUUCUUUUCACCUGCUAUUCAAGUCACUUCUUGUUGAUGAACUCACUCGUACGAUGGAAAACACUUGCAAGAUACCCUCAGGAUAACGUCAGGUUUCAAGAGCAGAUCUCCACUAUACUUUGGUUGCGUCCUUACAACUGAGCGCUACAGCGUGCUGGAUCAGACAGUUAAACACAGGAGUUACUUACAGCAUGUGCCUGAAUUAGUCAGUACAAGUUCAUUAGUGUGGGAAAAAAAGGAAUUUAACAGCAUAUUAAAAAAAAAAAAAUUUAUUCAUUGUAAUCUGCAAAUGUAUAAGACGGCAGUUCGAAGAGCUGAAGAACACAUGAAGCAUGAGUUUGGUUGACGUCAAAGCCACGGUGGUAUUUGACAGAUGUGAUACAGGCCGAGGAAGUGUACAUUUAACUUUUUAGGCUCCCUUUAGCAGCAUUAUAUUAGAAAGACAGCUAUUAGAAAGACACAAGGGAUCACUUUAACUAACUUUAAUACUGUCCAGAAACAUGAGAUACUGUCUGUGUGUUAAAUGGCAUGUUUAAAGGGUUAGUUCACCCAAAAAUGAAAAUUCUGUCAUUAAUUACUCACCCUCAUGUCGUUUCAAACCCGUAAGACCUUCGUUCAUCUUCGGAACACAAAUUAAGAUAUUUUUGAUGGAAUCUGAGAGCUGUCUGACCCUGCAUAGACAGCAACGCAACUGAAAUGUUCCCAAGUCCAGAGACGUAGCAAGAAGAUCUGUAAAAUAAUCCAUGUGACAUCAGUGGUUCAUCCGCAAUUAUACGAAGCUACGAGAAUACUUUUUGUGCGCAAAAGAAAAAAAAAAAGACUUUAUUCAACAAUUCGUCUCCUCCGCAUCACCCUGGUGCCAUUUUGGAGAAUAUCCGCUGGACAUAAACAGCGUAUGCUGUUCUGUGUCAGCUGCGUCACACGGAUACGCUGUUUCCGUUCAGAUCUAA